rnacentral:rRNA from 1 species
UACGAAGGGGGCGAGCGUUGCUCGGAAUGACUGGGCGUAAAGGGCGCGUAGGUGGUGCGUACAGUCAGGCGUAAAAUUCCUGGGCUCAACCUGGGGGCUGCGCUUGAUACGUGCGGACUAGAGUGUGGAAGAGGGUCGUGGAAUUCCCAGUGUAGAGGUGAAAUUCGUAGAUAUUGGGAAGAACACCGGUGGCGAAGGCGGCGACCUGGUCCAUUACUGACGCUGAGGCGCGAAAGCGUGGGGAGCAAACAGG